GCCCAGAUGGUGGAAUUGGUAGACACGCUGGUUUCAGGUACCAGUGCCUAAACAGCAUGGGAGUUCAAAUCUCCCUCUGGGCA
rnacentral:tRNA from 1 species